GACGAACGCUGGCGGCGUGCCUAAUACAUGCAAGUCGAGCGAAGCGGCGGAUGGGUGAGUAACGCGUGGGUAACCUGCCCUUAAUUCUGGGAUACCAUUUGGAAACAGAUGCUCAUACCGGAUACUACAGGAUGGACCUGCGAUGCAUUAGCUAGUUGGUAAGGUAACGUCUUACCAAGGCGAUGAUGCAGAGACGAGUUGAGAGACUGAUCGGCCACAUUGGGACUGAGCCACGGCCAAAACUCGUACGGGAGGCAGCAGUAGGGCAUCUUCCACAAUGGACGCAAGUCUGAUGGAGCAACGCCGCGGGAGUGAAGAAGGUUUUCUGAUCGUAAAGCUCUGUUGUUGGUGAAGCGGUAAUCAACCAGAAAGUCACGGCUAACUACGUGCCAGCAGCCGCGGUAAUUC
rnacentral:rRNA from 1 species